UACGUAGGGGGCAAGCGUUGUCCGGAUUUAUUGGGCGUAAAGGGCACGCAGGCGGUCUGCCAAGUUUCGAGUGACAGGUGAGGGCUUAACCCUCGCAGGCCUUGGAAAACUGGCAGACUUGAGGGCGAGAGAGGGAUGCGGAAUUCCAGGUGGAGCGGUGAAAUGCGUAGAGAUCGUAAGGAAGACCAGUGGCGAAGGCGGGUCUCUGGACAGUUCCUGACGCUGAGGCACGAAGGUCAGGGGAGCAAACGGG
rnacentral:rRNA from 1 species